AACGUACGCUGGCGGCACGCCUAACACAUGCAAGUCGAACGAAGUAGCAAUACUUAGUGGCAGACGGGUGAGUAACAUGUAGGUAUCUGCCCUUUGGCCUGGAAUAACACGAGGAAACCUGUGCUAAUACCGGAUAAGUCUUUACAGAGAAAGCUUUAUGCACCAUUGGAUGAGCCUGCACUUGAUUAGUUUGUUGGUGGGGUAAUGGCCUACCAAGACUGUGAUCAAUAGCUGAUUUGAGAGGAUGAUCAGCCACAUUGGGACUGAGACACGGCCCAAACUCCUACGGGAGGCAGCAGUGGGGAAUCUUGCACAAUGGAGGAAACUCUGAUGCAGCGAUGCCGCGUGAGUGAAGAAGGCCCUUGGGUUGUAAAGCUCUUUCGUCGGGGAAGAAAAUGACUGUACCCGAAUAAGAAGGUCCGGCUAACUUCGUGCCAGCAGCCGCGGUAAUACGAAGGGACCUAGCGUAGUUCGGAAUUACUGGGCUUAAAGAGUUCGUAGGUGGUUGAAAAAGUUAGUGGUGAAAUCCCAGAGCUUAACUCUGGAACUGCCAUUAAAACUUUUCAGCUAGAGUAUGAUAGAGGAAAGCAGAAUUUCUAGUGUAGAGGUGAAAUUCGUAGAUAUUAGAAAGAAUACCAAUUGCGAAGGCAGCUUUCUGGAUCAUUACUGACACUGAGGAACGAAAGCAUGGGUAGCGAAGAGGAUUAGAUACCCUCGUAGUCCAUGCCGUAAACGAUGUGUGUUAGACGUUGGAAAUUUAUUUUCAGUGUCGCAGGGAAACCGAUAAACACACCGCCUGGGGAGUACGACCGCAAGGUUAAAACUCAAAUGAAUUGACGGGGACCCGCACAAGUAGUGGAGCAUGUGGUUUAAUUCGAAGAUACGCGCAGAACCUUACCAACACUUGACAUGUUCGUCGCGACUCUAAGAGAUUAGAGUUUUCGGUUCGGCCGGACGAAACACAGGUGCUGCAUGGCUGUCGUCAGCUCGUGUCGUGAGAUGUUGGGUUAAGUCCCGCAACGAGCGCAACCCUCACUUUUAGUUGCCAUCAUUAAGUUGGGCACUCUGAAAGAACUGCCAGUGAUAAGCUGGAGGAAGGUGGGGAUGACGUCAAGUCCUCAUGGCCCUUACGUGUUGGGCUACACACGUGCUACAAUGGUAUUUACAACAGGAAGCAAGACUGCGAAGUUAAGCAAAUCCCUAAAAGAUACCUCAGUUCGGAUUGCACUCUGCAACUCGAGUGCAUGAAGCUGGAAUUACUAGUAAUCGUGGAUCAGCGUGCCACGGUGAAUGCGUUCCCGGGUCG
rnacentral:rRNA from 1 species